GACAGAGGGUGCAAACGUUGUUCGGAAUUACUGGGCGUAAAGGGCUCGUAGGCGGCCAACUAAGUCCGACGUGAAAUCCCCAGGCUUAACCUGGGAACUGCGUCGGAUACUGGUUGGCUUGAAUCCGGGAGAGGGAUGCGGAAUUCCAGGUGUAGCGGUGAAAUUCGUAGAUAUUAGGAAGAACACCAGUGGCGAAGGCGGCUCACUGGUCCGGUACUGACGCUGAGGUGCGAAAGCGUGGGGAGCAAACAGG
rnacentral:rRNA from 1 species